rnacentral:rRNA from 1 species
GACGAACGCUGGCGGCGUGCUUAACACAUGCCAGUCGAACGGUGAAGGGAUCAGCUUGCUGGUUCUGGAUGAGUGGCGAACGGGUGAGUAACACGUGAGUAACCUGCCCCCUUCUUCUGGAUAACCGCAUGAAAGUGUGGCUAAUACGGGAUAUUCUGGGUCUGUCGCAUGAUGGGUCUGGGAAAGAUAUUGUUUCGGUGGGGGAUGGGCUCGCGGCCUAUCGGCUUGUUGGUGGGGUGAUGGCCUACCAAGGCGGUGACGGGUAGCCGGCCUGCGCGGGUGAACCGUCACACGGGGUCUGCGGCACUGCCCAGACUCCUACGGGAGGCAGCAGUGGGGAAUAUUGCACAAUGGGCGCAAGCCUGAUGCAGCGACGCCGCGUGAGGGAUGGUGGCCUUCGGGUUGUAAGCCACUUUCGCCAGUGAAGCAGGCCUGCUCCUUGUGGGUGGGUUGACGUUAGCUGGAUAAGAAGCGCCGGCUAACUACGUG